rnacentral:misc_RNA from 1 species
AAGUCGUAACAAGGUUUCCGUAGGUGAACCUGCGGAAGGAUCAUUAUCGAGUUAGGGGUCUUCAUGGCCCUGACCUCCAACCCCUGUGUUUAUUAUACCACGUUGCUUCGGCGGGGUCCGUCUUUUUAUCGGGACCCGCCGGGGGGGUCGCGAGACUUCCUGGGCCCCGCGCCCCGCCGAUGGCCCCCCAAUAAAACUCUGUAUAACCAUGUUUGUCUGAGUUCUUAAAUUAAAUUAAAACAAAA